rnacentral:lncRNA from 1 species
UGAGAGAGGGCUGGAGGAUGAGAGCUGAUAGGGGGUUUGAGGAUGAGAGAAGGGUUGAGGGAUGAGAGCUGAGAGAGAGUUGGAGGCUGAGAGAGGGUUGGAGGCUGACAUAGGGCUGCAGACUGAGAGAGGGUUUGAGGAUGAGAGAGGGCUGCAGACUGAGAGGGUUUGAGGAUGAGAGAGGGCUGGAGGAUGAGAGCUGAGAGAGGGUUUGAGGAUGAGAGAAGGGUUGAGGGGUGAGAGCUGAGAGAGAGUUGGAGGCUGAGAGAGGGUUGGAGACUGAGAGAGGGUUGGAGGCUGAGAG